UACGUAGGGUGCAAGCGUUAAUCGGAAUUACUGGGCGUAAAGCGUGCGCAGGCGGUUUUGUAAGUCUGUCGUGAAAUCCCCGGGCUCAACCUGGGAAUUGCGAUGGAGACUGCAAGGCUGGAGUCUGGCAGAGGGGGGUAGAAUUCCACGUGUAGCAGUGAAAUGCGUAGAGAUGUGGAGGAACACCGAUGGCGAAGGCAGCCCCCUGGGUCAAGACUGACGCUUAUGCACGAAAGCGUGGGGAGCAAACAGG
rnacentral:rRNA from 1 species